AGGGCAGUAGCUCAGUGGUAGAGCUCCCGCUUCGUAUUCGGGAAGCCCUGGGCACGAUUCCCGGAUGCUUUC
rnacentral:tRNA from 1 species